UGCCGCUCCCGCCGAGCGCGUCCUCGGCGGGCACUGACCGUGGGCUGGAGCGAGGGCCCGCAGCGCAGGAGACGUGGUCUGUGCGGAGCAGGAACCACCGGGGGCCCGCCUGGCUCAGUCGGCCGCGUCCGCUCCCGAAUGCAGGCUUAGGUUGGUGUGUUGUCUGUCUGUUGGGGUCUUUCCCUCUGGCCCCAGCAUGGAGAUGCUUGGAGCAAGGAGGCAGGCCAGGUGCUGGUUCCCCGGGCCCCUCCGCAGCUACACCCUCCCACCUCCCUGCUGGACCACCCCGUCCAGAGCCAGGAGACCGGCUGGAGCGAGAUCCACAGCCCGCUGCCCACAGUUUCAGGACGGGGUGCAGGAUGAAGACCCUGAUGGGUUGGGGGGUUCCUGGUGCAGGAUGAAGCCCCACAGCCUGACCCACGGGCUCCUGCAGCCUCCCACACCCCUCCCCUGCCCUGUGCCCUGCAGCCACCCUGGACUGUCCACAGCUCCCUUGAGGCACCAGGCUCUCUCCUCCCUCCCUUGGUGGGUGCUCUUCCUCGGUGGAGGCCCUACUGGAUGCCCCCACCCGACUCCCCUGGGCAGGGGCGCAGGUGGAGUGUGUGCUGUGGGGAGAUGAGCACCGCCUGCUGCCUUCACCAGUUUUUAUUUUGGUAAUGGGCUUGACAUGUGAGUCCUGUGAUGUGGACAGAGGUGAAGAAAGGCCCCUUUGCCUCAGAAACCCUGGCUGUCAACAGUUGUCAGCUCCACGUGAGGCCCUGGGAAGGCGCCAGAGCCACACUCAUGGGCACCUGCUGUGUACCAGGCCCCAGAAUGGCUGCCCUCACAGCGGGUGGUUAUCACCUGUGUUACAGAAGAGUAGAUGGAGGCUGAGGAGCCCAUCCCUUCAGGUUAGUUUAGGGGCAGGGCCUGUGUGAGCUGGGUGUCCUGGAGUCCUGCCAGCCAGCCUUCCCAGAGGCCAGCCUUCCCAGCCUGCUCUAGGGGAGGGCCUUAGUGGGCUGCGGAGUGCCAGGAGGGAAGGGGGGCUUUUGCUCUGCAAGGUUCAGAGAUGGUGCAGGCUUGGAGGUGGGCACAGCCAAGUUCGUAGACCAUGCUCACAAGUGAAGAGUGGCCCCGUGGGGGUGAGAGCCUGGGUUUCCACUCAGACCAGCCUGGCAUUGGGUUACGGGUUACCCUUCGGAGCCAGGCCCAGUGUUGGAUUGUGAUCCUCCUCCAGGGCCAGACAGGCUGGAGAAAUGAGAGCUGAAGAGACCUGAGAGCCCCAGCCCCCCUCCCUCUGUCCACUGGCCCCUCGCCAGCCAGUGCCCCAGUUACUGCCACCAACCCCCCUCCCCAUCCCCAGGGAACCUGAGAGCCCCAGCACCCCUCCCUCUGCUGUCCAGCCAGCCAGCCCCACGCCAGACAGGGCCCCAGUUAUAGACACCCCACCCCCAUGCAGGUGCCAGUGACUCUUAAGUGCAGGCUUCUCUCCAGACUCCUCUGCCUUCCUGAUCAAUCGAUCCAUCCCCCAAACCCCUCAAACUACAAAACAGGGCCCGGCCUUCCCCAGAACCCACCACUGCAGCUUUGGCCCUGCUCUCUGCUCUGUUCUCAGGCAGCCCAGGUGCUCAGUUAAGAGCAAGUCCUGUAACUCACCUGUGGACUCCCCUCUUCUCUCCACCUAAGGAUCCAAAGCAAGACAGAAAUUUGAAUGAUUACAGACCUUUUCUUUUGCCAACACCACCAAGCUACUCAGAACCCUGAGAACCUUUUAAGGUUCCUGCCAUGUUGAUCCCCUGUAAGCUACCUCCUUGCGAUGAGUCAACAGAGGACAAAGCAAAACGUCAGUUGAUGAGCAGAAUGGGGACAGAAUGGGGAGAUAACGCCAGUCCCCCUCCCCCCACCAUGGCUAAUGAUGAGGAUUGAAUAAAAUUGGGGAUUCUGCUUUAAUUGACCUGGUCCGUGCUGAAAGAGGGCAUAGGAGCUCCCCAGGUGAUUCUGCUCUAGAGCUGAGGCCCUCACUUUAGCAGGCAUCGGCAUCACUGGGAAUGGAGGAUCUUUUAUUUAUUUUUUAUUUUCUUAAAGAUUUAUUUAUUUAUU